UACGGGGGGGGUAAGCGUUGUUCGGAAUUACUGGGCGUAAAGGGCUCGUAGGCGGCCAACUAAGUCAGACGUGAAAUCCCCAGGCUCAACCUGGGAACUGCGUCCGAUACUGGAUGGCUUGAAUCCGGGAGAGGGAUGCAGAAUUCCAGGUGUAGCGGUGAAAUGCGUAGAUAUCUGGAGGAAUACCGGUGGCGAAGGCGGCAUCCUGGACCGGCAUUGACGCUGAGGAGCGAAAGCCAGGGGAGCAAACGGG
rnacentral:rRNA from 1 species